rnacentral:rRNA from 1 species
AUUGAACGCUGGCGGCAUGCCUUACACAUGCAAGUCGAACGGCAGCACGGGAAUAGGCCUCUCUUCGAGGGGGGCACGGGCGGGUGAUACAGCAGAACAUCCGCAGUGACGUUGGCGAGCGCGAUGACAUAGGGAAACUUACCCCAUAACCGCUGACGGCGUACGCGUGGGAUCAUCGGACCUUCCGCUCUUGCGGGGUCCGAUGACGGAUUAGCUAGUUGGUGGGGUAAAGGCCUACCAAGGCGACGAUCUGUAGCUGGUCUGAGAGGACGACCAGCCACACUGGAACUGAGACACGGCCCAGACUCCUACGGGAGGCAGCAGUGGGGAAUUUUGGACAAUGGGCGAAAGCCUGAUCCAGCAAUGCCGCGUGUGUGAAGAAGGCCUUCGGGUUGUAAAGCACUUUUGGCGGGAAAGAAAAGCAGUAUGCUAAUACCGCGGUGUGAUGACGGUACCCGAAGAAUAAGCACCGGCUAACUACGUG